GAUGAAGAACGUAGUGAAAUGCGAUAAGUAAUGUGAAUUGCAGAAUUCAGUGAAUCAUCGAAUCUUUGAACGCACAUUGCGCCCCCUGGUAUUCCGGGGGGCAUGUCUGUUCGAGCGUCAUUUCACCACUCAAGCCUCGCUUGGUAUUGGGCAACGCGGUCCGCCGCGUGCCUCAAAUCGACCGGCUGGGUCUUCUGUCCCCUAAGCGUUGUGGAAACUUUCGCUAAAGGGUGUUCGGGAGGCUACGCCGUAAAACAACCCCAUUUCUAAGGUUUACCUCGGAUCAGGUAGGGAUACCCGCUGAACUUAAGCAUAUCAUAAGCGGAGGA
rnacentral:misc_RNA from 1 species